CUGCAGCCCGAGUGGUGAUCGAUUUUAUUGAGCCUAAAGCGUCCGUAGCCGGACUAGUAAACCCUUGGGUAAAUUGGGCAGCUUAACUGUCCGAAUUCCGAGGGGACUGCUAGCCUUGGGACCGGGAGAGGUCAGAGGUACUCCAGGGGUAGGGGCUAAAUCCUGUAAUCCUUUGGGGACCACCAGUGGCGAAGGCGUCUGACUAGAACGGAUCCGACGGUAAGGGACGAAACCCUGGGGCGCGAACCGGAUUAGAUACCCGAGUAGUCC
rnacentral:rRNA from 1 species